GAAGUGCAUCACAGGGUGGUGUAUUGUGGCACUUGAUGCCCCCGAGUGCCACUGUCUGUCCUCCACAUCGAGCGAGUAAGGACGGAAUCCAACUCCUCUCUGCAUCCAGGCAGGAUGCUGUGGACGGGCUUCUUGUCCGUGGCCGCCCUCAGUGUGGGCGUGGGGGCGGUGGAGAAGGUGGCGGCGAGGGCGUGUUUCCACCACCACAACAACGGCGGAACCAUCUAUGAUUUCCACAGUCCCGAUCUGCAUGAUUCGCAAAACAUCACCAUGGAGAGCUUCCGUGGCAAGGUUGUGCUGAUCGUCAACGUCGCUACGUACUGAGGUUACACCAAUCAGUACCACGACAUGAAUGUGCUCCACAAUUCCUUCAGUGAUUUCCAAGUCAUUGGCGUCCCAUGCAACCAGUUCGGGAAGCAAGAGCCUGGAGGCAGUGGCUUAGAAGUUGAAAAUGGCAUCAAACACGUCAGGCCUGGAAAUGGGUUCCUUCCUGACUUCCCUCUGCUGAAAAAGACAAAUGUGAAUGGGGUGGACGAGCAUCCUUUGUUUACUUAUCUCCAGGAGUACUGUCCCCCGACGCGCGAGGAAUUCGCCGACCCGAGCCAGCUGUUCUACCACCCGAUGAAGAAUAACGACGUCCGCUGGAACUGGGAGAAGUUCCUCAUCACCAAGAGCGGCAAGCCUUACAUGCGCUACGACGCUGACACUCGGCCCGACGCCAUCAAGAGCGACGUCGCGUUCCUCCUCCAGCAGGAGUUUUAGGUCCUGUUAAAGAGCUUACCUGUCGCCAGGGCUCUUUGUCAAAGUGCCAGAUAAAGUGUUUUUUUUUUUUUUUAAAUGUUGCUUCUUCUACGUUGCCAUGCCUAUCCUGCAUGAUCCCUCUCUUCCCCGACUGUAAUGUGUCCGUGACCCUUGACUUUGCAUGACGGCAUGAAGGUGUCGCCAGAAACCCCCCCCGGGUGGGCGGCGCUGGAAGGCGGGGCGAACUUGGGUCGGGUCUUCUAGCACAUUCAUCCUGACCCCUGUGACCUCUGCCUGCCAUGCGGGGGUUGAGGGUCACGAGCCACGACUCAAAACACAAGAGUAAAUGCACUUUUACUUUCGAAAUGCUUCGGGUGUAUGAAUUUCUUAUUCUUUUUUUUUUCUUGUUACAUGAUGCUCUUCAUUAAAAUGCCAGUCUUA